GUAAUCUGAAUUCUCAGCCUCCAAAAAUUAUAAUCUAUCUAACUAUUUUUAUCUCUUUAUCUCUUUUUUAAUUACUACAUUGUAUUUUCUUCUUCCCACCUAUCGUCGCUGAAACGCCCGGUCCCUUUUCUCUUUGCAUGUGGUGCAGAGUAUCUGGGAUUGGCGCGGAGCCUCGGUGCACCAGACAUGGUUUCCCAAAAAAAGAUACCUUCUCGGAAACCUGUACAACAGGAUGAGGUUGGCAACUGCUCAACAAUUGUCAAUCGUCACCGCUUCCUCCUAACAGCCUGCAUCCUCUUGGCUUUGCUCUGCAUCAUAUAUCUCUACCUUGCCGUCAACUUUGGGCCUGAGGACUUGUGCUCGGGUCUUUCAGGGGUCCAAAGGACACAGUGUCAAUGGAUCCAAGCAAAAAACCUUGUUGCCAAGGGAAAAUAUAGAAUCUUAUAGGUACCUUGCCUCCACACGGCUACGGUAAUUUCAUUUUUAGUCCCUUAAAGAAUUGAGACAUAGCAUUGGGUACUUAGUCAUGUAUAGGUGAACUGUAACUAUAAUCCUUAUAAAUUAUGUAACCUCGCAGUUUUCUUAAUUACCGCUAACUUGAUGAUCUACUGUGUCACUUGUUAUCGGAGAAUUUUUGAACGAUAAAUUGUACCCUACUGAAAUUUUUCUAUAGAACAGUGGCGCGGACUUGGUCCUUUGUGGUUUUAACCUCCGCUAAUCUGUAACAUUGGUUAUGGAGUGGUCGCUGGCACUCUGGCCAAUCUGUUUUACGCAAGUUUAGUGCGAAAAUUUGAAGAAUUCUUUCUCAUCAUAUGGUUCCUAAAAAGGAUUUCAUUAAUAUCCUUUCUUGUUUAAA